CUGCAUCAUUAUUUUGUUACUAGCACCAGAUACAUCAUUGCUGAUAAGAAUGGGGUAAUCAAACUGGUAUUUCGUUUCUGGUGAGGAUAAUACACACUUUCAGACAUGAAGGAUAUAUUAUUACUGGAAAUUAUGGUGUAGUUUGAAAACAGUAAGAGGGCGACUAUAAUUUUUCAUUGUAGGAAGUAGCUGAAAAUUUGACUCGGUGCUUUUCUUUCGAGGGUCCUUUUGAUCCUUGGAGUCCUUUAUUCUUCAUCAACAUGACAGAUUUUCAGCUUUUGUAAAGAUGAAAUGUUCUACUUACCAAUUUAUUGAUGGUUUCAACCAGGUUCCAGGGUAUGAGCAGGGCAA
rnacentral:misc_RNA from 1 species